GAAAUCUUCACCAGUAGCCUCCACAUUGCCCUCAUAUUCGGCAUCCAUCUCAAGCAUUUUCAAGACCCUUCGAGCCAAGAGGAGUCCAGUGCAGUAUGCUGCAGCAUAGUUGGUGAGACCAACUUCAAGCCCAUAACGGGGUAGCUCAUGAGAAUAAGCCGAAGCAAGGACCAAAUCACCAGCAAUGCUAGCGGAAAUAAUUUGGGCUGUAAUAUCUUUGUUCGAAGUUCGGACAACAAAGCGAUACUUGGGAGUAUUGUAUUUGUUUUUGUCUUGAUUAAUAAGACGGAUUCUGGCCCGAUAGUCGGUCUUACCCUCUCUUCUUCUCUUGAACUUGACUUGAUAACGCUUGAAGUAGGCCUUUGUCUUCUGAGCUUUGGCAAAAGCCAUUGUAGAUUUGAAGCCGCGAGCGGAGGAGG
rnacentral:misc_RNA from 1 species